UCCAUAAGUCAGGAUUCCAGUCACAGC
rnacentral:piRNA from 1 species